UACGGGGGGGCAAGCGUUGUUCGGAAUUACUGGGCGUAAAGGGUCUGUAGGUGGCCAACUAAGUCAGACGUGAAAUCCCUCAGCUUAACUGGGGAACUGCGUCUGAUACUGGAUGGCUUGAGUGCAGGAGAGGAACGCGGAAUUCCAGGUGUAGCGGUGAAAUGCGUAGAUAUCUGGAGGAACACCGGUGGCGAAGGCGGCGUUCUGGACUGCAACUGACACUGAGAGACGAAAGCCAGGGGAGCAAACGGG
rnacentral:rRNA from 1 species